rnacentral:tRNA from 1 species
CAGGAAGUAGUUUAAGUAGAAUGUCAGCUUUGGGUGCUGAUGGUGGGGGAGUGAUCCUUCCUUCUUGA